ACACUCAAGUUUCACCUCAGUACGUAUAAAUCUUUCGCCUUUUACUAAAGAUUUCCGUGGGGAGGAAUAAAAUGAGUAUAAGUUAAUUUUUUGUUGCCCUACUCAAACUUAGGGCU